UACAGAGGGUGCGAGCGUUAAUCGGAAUCACUGGGCUUAAAGCGUGCGUAGGCGGACAUGCAGGCAUGGAGUGAAAUCCCAUGGCUCAACCAUGGAACAGCUUCGUGAACCGCAUGUCUUGAGGCAGGUAGGGGCGGUCGGAACGAUAGGUGGAGCGGUGAAAUGCGUAGAUAUCUAUCGGAACGCCGACGGAGGAGUCAGGCCGCUGGGCCUGUCCUGACGCUGGAGGCACGAAAGCGUGGGGAGCAAACGGG
rnacentral:rRNA from 1 species